CCUACGGGAGGCAGCAGUGGGGAAUAUUGCACAAUGGGGGGAACCCUGAUGCAGCGACGCCGCGUGAGUGAAGAAGUUUCACGGUAUGUAAAGCUCUAUCAGCAGGGGAGAAAAUGACGGUACCUGACUAAGUAGCCCCGGCUAACUACGUGCCAGCAGCCGCGGGAAUACGUAGGGGGCAAGCGUUAUCCGGAUUUAUUGGGUGUGAAGGGGGCGUAGACGGGGGUGCAAGUACGGAGUGAAGGCCCCUGGCUUAAACCUGGACCUGCUGUGGAAACUGUGGAUCUUGAGUGGGGGAGGGGCAUGGGGAAUGCGUAGUGUAGCGGUGAAAUGCGUAGAUAUUAGGCGGAACACCGGGGGCGAAGGCGGCCUGCUGGACCUUAACUGACGUUGAGGCUCGAAAGCGUGGGGAGCAAACAGGAUUAGAUACCCGAGUAGUC
rnacentral:rRNA from 1 species